rnacentral:rRNA from 1 species
UACGUAGGGUGCAAGCGUUGUCCGGAAUUAUUGGGCGUAAAGAGCUCGUAGGCGGUCUGUCACGUCGGCUGUGAAAUCCCGAGGCUCAACCUCGGGUCUGCAGUCGAUACGGGCAAACUAGAGUAUUGCAGGGGGAGACUGGAAUUCCUGGUGUAGCGGUGAAAUGCGCAGAUAUCAGGAGGAACACCGGUGGCGAAGGCGGGUCUCUGGGCAAUAACUGACGCUGAGGAGCGAAAGCGUGGGGAGCGAACAGG